rnacentral:rRNA from 1 species
CCUUGUACACACCGCCCGUCACACCAUGGGCGCGGGUUCUGCCAGAAGUAGUUAGCCUAACCGCAAGGAGGGCGAUUACCACGGCAGGGUUCGUGACUGGGGUG